ACGGACGCUGGCGGCGUGCCUAAUACAUGCAAGUAGAACGCUGAAGCUUGGUGCUUGCACCGAGCGGAUGAGUUGCGAACGGGUGAGUAACGCGUAGGUAACCUGCCUGGUAGCGGGGGAUAACUAUUGGAAACGAUAGCUAAUACCGCAUAAGAGUAGAUGUUGCAUGACAUUUGCUUAAAAGGUGCAAUUGCAUCACUACCAGAUGGACCUGCGUUGUAUUAGCUAGUUGGUGAGGUAACGGCUCACCAAGGCAACGAUACAUAGCCGACCUGAGAGGGUGAUCGGCCACACUGGGACUGAGACACGGCCCAGACUCCUACGGGAGGCAGCAGUAGGGAAUCUUCGGCAAUGGACGGAAGUCUGACCGAGCAACGCCGCGUGAGUGAAGAAGGGUUUCGGAUCGUAAAGCUCUGUUGUAAGAGAAGAACGAGUGUGAGAGUGGAAAGUUCACACUGUGACGGUAUCUUACCAGAAAGGGACGGCUAACUACGUG
rnacentral:rRNA from 1 species